GUUUGUUUAUUUAUGUUCCUGUAAAGAUCGUGUAUGUGGCUUAACAAUAGUCCUGUUAUGUUAUAAAAAUUAAGUUAUUAUUAUUUCAUUUCUUUUAUCAUAAGAUUUUAUCAAGUUGGCAUUUAAGAAUUAAGUUCAUUCCUUUUAUUCUUUUGAUCUUGAUUAUGGGCAGGUUGACUCUGUAAUUCUUGCUGAAAAUCCUGUGAUCUAACUCUGAGUCUCCAGGUGCUUUUCUAUGGGAUUUUUUUAGGCCCUGGAGAAAGGCAAUGAAGUAAACACUAGCCCACCCAAAGAUUACAUGUUAACAUGAAGCCAUGAUAAACAUGGAGCAAAGAAAAUGUUUAAAUACACAAAAAUAUUUAAUAAUAAGGACAUGCAGCUCCUUGUUUCCCUUGUCUGAUUUUUCUUAUUUGAGAGCUGCCGUCUCCAUGGCAGCUGGUGAUUUUCAUUGGUUUUGUUUUCAGAGAAAAAUGUAAGUUUCGUUUUCCAUUUACAGAUUUGCAACAUGGUUUGAACUGUGUUACUCACUCUUUGCUCCACCCACAACUGAUCAUCUUGCAGUGUGUGACAGGAGGACGUAGCUGUAGGAUUCACAGCAUAACCAAACCCAAACGUUCAAAACGAGUCAGGCCCCUCAAAAUCAUGAGAUUAGCUUAAAAAAUAUCUGGACUCUUUAAAAAUACUAAAUGUGGAAUUAUUUUUAUUUGCCUUCCUGUCUUAGAGCCUUUUCAAGUUUUUCUUCUGUAACCAUGAGAGUUAGAAACUUGCAUCUUAUUUUUUCCCCCCCUGUAAUCACUUGACUUUGUAAUCUGGCACUUUAAGAAAAAAACACGAAAUAUUAAAUAUUGCAAGAUUUCCCAUUGCAAAUUGAAAGUUGGUAACACUGGGUUUGGCAGAGCUUAUUCCUUAUUUGUAACUCUCCCAGGCCCAGAGUUUUGCAUGCAUUAUUUGCAAUUGUAGUUACCACAGCUGCAGUAACUGUGCAUGCGAAAACCCUGUAUCAACUAUUUGCAUAAAUAACUAGUGAAACUGUGCACACAAUUGUUGUUCCUGAAUGCACACAAUGGCAUGCAUACACUGUAUAAAUAGCUGGGCCUUGUUGUUCAGAAUUUUGACAUGACCAAGAACUUUGGAAGUGGAGGAGAAACUUUUAUUUAAAAAAGAACGAUCUCUGCAAAAAGAAACACAAAGAAUGGUCCAUACACAAUGGCUCCUAAUGCAACAGAGUACACAGCAUGUUGUCCUUUAUGAAAGUCUGAGGAUGUAGAUCCAUGUGACUCUGCUCCCGGAAGCUCAGAGAGAUUUCAAAGAAGGAUCUUCCAGACCAGCAAGUCUGAGAUGUGCCUAAAUGGAUGACACUGAGCAAAGGACACUUAUGUAAGAGAAGGGAACACAUAAAGUUCUGACUGGAUAUUUGGUGCUUGCUGAUUGAUACAUGCUCAUACAUUGGAGUCAGUCGUUUUCCGGCAAGUUCUGUAAUUGACUCUCAAUCUGCUUUGGGACUCGGAUAAAUGGCAAAAGCACCGUCUAGUGCAGCUUCACAAGUGGAGCAACUCAUCUUUGACCACUUAAGGAGAGCUGCCACUCCAAAGAAGGCCUGUGAGAUUGCCGGUGCAUGUUCAGUUACCAGAAAGGAAGCCAAGCAAGUGCUGUACAAGUUGCAGAAGGAGGGAAAGGUUGAGAAGCAGAGUGAUGAUAACAAAUGGCUUGUCCGUGCGGAUGCAGAGGUGGAAUGUCAUCAGAAAACCGCCGAGUUGAAAAUCGAUGACACCGCCCUAGUCCCACUGCACCAGCCUGUGAACGCUGUGACUCCUGUGAAAGAUGACCGCAAACUGUCAGAAAAUCAGGAAAAGAUUUACCAGUUUCUGUCAGAAAAUGGAUCUCGCAGUGCAUUAGCCAUUGCCAAACAUAUGGGAAAGACGACACGAAAGGAAGUCAAUGCAGAUUUAUACGCACUGCAGAAAAGACAUGUCCUCAGCCAGGAGGAAGACACGAAGCUUUGGUCGGUUUACGGACAGGGGGCAGGUUACAAACUAACAAAUCCUGGAGCAAAUAAGGAAGCAGGGCCAGUUAUUAUUCAGAAUAAUCCAACAAACAUUAUCUAUCAGGGAGGAGUGCAAAACACCAUCUCUAUAGCUGAUUCCAGAGCUACUCAAAUUGGAAACUACAACUCGCUGAAUCUAGUGGAUAAAAAAGAUGAUUCUAGACCAACUGUUCCAAGACUUAGGGCUGCAUCAGAGAAUGCUGAUAUGUUGCACUGUGAAGCAGAAGCUAAAGCAACCCCCCAGGGUGGUCAGGAAAUUGAUGUCACUGAGUCCACACUCAAGAAUACUGUCAUUGGUGAUGAUAAUCAAAUGAAUAUCAUUAUGAAGGCCUUCGCUGAUAGUCGAGAGGAGCAUCUGGACCAAUAUGGCACUCCAGAAAAGAAUCCAUUUGAUGACAGUUUUUCUGCCAGCCCUGGGCCGUCACUGAAAAUUAACACCUCCCUCCCCGGGGAAGGGAGAGCUCCAUUGCAAAGAGUCACCAUUGACAAGUCCGAGAUGGAGAACGUCAUGAUUGGAAACAACAACCAAAUGAGUGUUCAUGAGCAAUGUGGUUCUGCCAGCCUCGCAGAUGAGGAGACAAAUGAGGAAGACGAUGCUUCAGAUUCCAACUUGAUAUCGGAGCAAAGCGAAUGGACAUCCUGUGAUGAUAGCAGCCUGGAUCGGUCAAGUGACAUUUCCAUCCUUUGUGAAAAGUUGCAAGAUGUAAUCAUUGGGAACAACAACUAUAUGAAUGUAGAAGAAACUGCAAAUACUGAGAGUGGUGAAGAAGAUGAAGACAAAUAACAGAUAUGUGGAGAAAGCGAAGAUCUUGCUUAUGAAGCCCGUGCAGAAAUUCACAAACGUGAGCAGGUAGAGUCACAGAGACAAAUUGAAGGUAAAUGGAUUCCCUGCUGCAGACUGUAAGCUGAUCACCCUACGGGUCAGGAAGGUAUUGACCCAUCUACAGCACAGUAGCCUUUGAUAGCUACGCUACGGGCUGACAUACCUGCUCAGCUCUGGAGCUCAAAGACCAGAAACCAAAACAAGGUUCACGCAAAUCCCUACAAACCAACACACAAGGUGAGCUAAAGUAGCUGGUUUGAAUCCUGGAAAGGGGAUCACUUCUAUUUACAAAUAUGGGGCCCACAUCUCCAUUCUGCCUGAGCUCUCCAGAGGCUGAGAGAGAAAGUGGAGAGGGAGAUAAAUUGGUUUCCUUCCCCUGUAUUCUGGACACAGUCCCAAUGUAUGGUACAGCAUCAGGAGUGCUCUUACACUUGAGCUGCCUAGAGCCCCCCCCCCAGGGGCCAUUCUAGCAGUGGCAUUCUGCUUCUCUUGGCCAUGUCUCCAACACACCUUCUCCACCAGGCGCUGUGAAAGGAGAUGGUGUAAUUCCCCUAUGCCAAAUCCAUCAGCCUUAUAGCCCCUUUGUGGUGCCAGAGUGGCAUGAAGGGGCCCGAUGGAGCAUUGAGCCAGUGGGAUUUCUCGACCACUUUUUAAUGUCACUGCUGCAUUUCCUGUUGAGUCAGACAUUGAUCCAUCUGCACCUUGUUUUUCAAGGCAAGGUAGGACUAGCUAGUGAAAAAAUAAUGACCCCAGAGUUAAUUUACCUCCAUAACUAAGAAGUAAAUGAAAUCAAAACCACUUCAGUAGAGCAUAAAAAUUUUAAGGAACUAGUAAAAAUAUUGAUAGGUACUCCCUGCAAAUCAGUGGAGUCAGAGUGUUGAAUAUAUCCUUUUAACUCCAUGUCUGUAAAGACCCAGAUGUAUAGCACUCCACCUAAUCAUGACUAUUUCAAGUUGCUUAACUCAGGGGUGAAUGGAACCAGGGACAUCAAUUUGCAUGUGCAAUUGUAAUAUCUAUCCAGCCAAAGUGACUCAAGAUGGCAUCAGAACUACCUCUGAGUUCCUUUCAAAACAUAGCAAGAAACUCAAGAUGAUUGGUGUCAGGAUUUGUGUGUGUAAAGCCAAGAGCAUACUGUAUUUGUAGUCAGUGGAUGACAAGCACCUGACAGAUCCCACCCCCACCCCCAGUCAAAGCAGCUGAGAUGCAUGUCAAGCGUACUUUGACUGCAAUGUGAUCGUUUUGUUUUCCUGUGUGGAGGUAGCUCUAAAAUUAGGGACACUGGAAAAAACAGACCAAAAAAGAAGAGAGAGAGAAAGCUCUCUGAUCAUAGCUAAAUAGCAAAUCAAUGCUGAAUGUCAAAAGUGAUUUAAGUGUAGGCAUAUGCCUCGCUAUACCAAAGUCAGAUCAUUGUCCCGUGAUGUCUGGUUUUCCACUUCAACAGUGGUUGUAGAGAUCAGAGACCUGGGACACCAUGGUCAGGGUUAUCUCCUGUUUACACAGACCUUUAUCUCCUCACUAUAUGCCCCCCAAUGGCCACCCUGAAUAGUAGCUCUACAAGUUUAUACCUAACUCCACAAUGGUCAACUCCAAUAAUUAAAGGCUUAAAUUAUUCAUUCUAUGGCUUUAAGGAAUUGCCAUAUGAGUAAAGGGCAGGAGAUCCUUCAGAAAACCCAAUAAUUGACCCUUUUAAGUCAAUGAGAAUUUUUUUGCCGUUGACUUCCAUGGGACAAAUAUCAAGCUUAAUAUGGGCCUGAGUUUGAAACCCUUAGUGAUGCUGUGUGGCACUGAUUCAAUGGGGAAUUAGUCAUGUAAAUAAAUCCUAUCUGAUGUGAGUAAUGGAGGCAGAUUCUGGCCCUAAGUCAUUACGAUCUUAGGCUCAGGAGAAACUGCAUGACUCAGUUCUAGCUUUAAAAAAUAAAUCUCAAGCCAUAAAGUACCUUUUGGCUUUUGUCAAAAUUGAUCCAAAAGGGGCUGUGCUAAAUAAUAAAAAAGAUCGAGCUUUUGAUGUUAAGUUGCAUCUUCAAGCAUAAAAUCCAGCCUUGAUGAUGAAGCUGAGCCCAGCCUAUUUCACCCAGGCAAAAAAUACUCAACAAGAACCUUAUGUUACUUUUCAUUUAGAGAAAACGUCUAUACAUGUAAAAAAAAAUAGAAAAAUCCUUGACAGGUAAGUAAGUAGGAAACAUCUGGCCAAACUGAAGGCAAAAGAAGUCAUUUCAGGGAAAGGUGGUUCACUGAAAGCUUUUCAUCGUGACUCCAACUUAGCAGUUAACGAAAAAAUAACACUUACUGAUGAAGUGUUUAAAAUGGCAGAUGGCAAAAAUUCUAUACAUAUCUAGCACAAGAAGCUAAAUCGAUUAAGGGAAAAAAUAUUGGCUAGUCUAAAUGUGGAGAUGUGCGCCCAGAGGCGGGGCAAGUAUUUUGAAACUGUCAUGAUAUUUUUGAUAGAUUUCCCAGAAGCAGUGUGGUUCCAGGAAUGGCAGGUUAUUGGAAAGGCUGAUUACUGGACACUGCAGUGUUUGCCUUGGAAGUACAGGGUACCUGUUUCCAGUGAUGGUAGUUCCUGGAAUGGCAACGCAACAGGAACGCUCCAUAUGCUAUAUUCUCCACUGCCCUGCACCUCAUGAUAUCAUUUACACUGUACAAAUUGGGUAUAAAAUGCCACCAAUUCCGAAUGGUAGCAUACCUGCUUUACGGGGUGAUGAUAUCGGGUGUUUGGCAGUGGAGAAUCUGAUUUAUGGUGUCUGUACUGUACUGUAAUUUAUUGCUGUACUAGUUUAUCCCAGGUUACGCACUGUUUUAUGAGCUCACGACUGGGACCAAUACAUUAUUCAGUAAGAAAGUGUGAACUCUGCAAAAAACCCUCUGAAAAGCAAAGACAGGAAGCAUACACUUAUAUCCCCCCCUCCAAAUUAAUUGCUAUUAUUUUGAUUAAAACACAUUAUCAUAUAAAUAUUUGAUUUAAAAUGUGAUUAAAUCUUUCUUGCUUAUGAACUGUGACACCUUUAAAGCCUAACCUUUUAUGGCUUAGCGCUACAUAAUUAUGUUGCUCAUUAGCUACAUUUAAUAGUUCGAUCUCUAAUAUGCUCUGCCAUUUGGAACCUGCCGUCAGUGCCAAGUUCAAAUCAAUGCUGUUAGUUAUUUGUGCCAUUGCAGAUAAUUAAACAAAAAUUAAAAGCAAUUUAACCUUGCAGAUAUUCACAGUAUGGUAUUAAUCUGGCUUGGUAUUGAUUGAUAUUCAAAGACUGGGAGUGGUUCAAUUAGCCUAAUGUUGUGGGCCUAAUUCUGCCUUUCUUUAUACAGGGACAAAUCCCAUUGAAGUCAUUGGGAGUUCUUUUCUUUUUCAAUGGAGAUCUCCUA